CAAAAGAUAGUUUAAAAAAAAUUUUAACUUUGGGAGUUAAAGAUGAAAUAAAUUAUUUUUCUUUUGA
rnacentral:tRNA from 1 species